GGGGAACGCGGGGAAUUGAAACAUCUUAGUACCCGCA
rnacentral:rRNA from 1 species